rnacentral:rRNA from 1 species
UACGUAGGUGGCAAGCGUUGUCCGGAAUUAUUGGGCGUAAAGCGCGCGCAGGUGGUUUCUUAAGUCUGAUGUGAAAACCCACGGCUCAACCGUGGAGGGUCAUUGGAAACUGGGAAACUUGAGUGCAGAAGAGGAAAGUGGAAUUCCACGUGUAGCGGUGAAAUGCGUAGAGAUGUGGAGGAACACCAGUGGCGAAGGCGACUUUCUGGUCUGUAACUGACACUGAGGCGAGAAAGCGUGGGGAGCAAACAGG